GUCCUGAGCAGGUUUUCUGAAUUCUCCUUUCUUCCUUUUCUCCUUGGCGAAUAUCCUGUACUCUCAUUGUUGGUUGUUUAAGACCCAGCACUCAUCAACAAAGCCACAGAAAUACUCAACUUGAAACAUCAGUCCUGCCCGGGUCCUGCGGCUGCCCGCUCUUGCUGUGGAAUCCACACCAUGGGUCCUCCUGAUCCUCAGGCCUUCAGAUGUGGACUGGAAAAAUACCAUUGGCUUGCAUUGGUCUCCAGCUUGCUGACUCACCCUACAGAUCUUGGGACUUGUCAACCUCAUAAUUGUGUGAGCCUAUUCCCUAGAAUAAACCUCUCUAUAUAAUGUA